UACGAAGGUGACAAGCGUUGUUCGGAAUUAUUGGGCGUAAAGCGCACGUAGGCGGUUUUGUAAGUCGAUUGUGAAAACCCUGGGCUCAACCCGGGACCUGCAGUCGAAACUACAAGUCUUGAAUGCUCGAGAGGAUAGUGGAAUUCCAGGAGUAGAAGUGAAAUUCGUAGAUAUUCGGAAGAACACCAGUGGCGAAGGCGGCUCACUGGACUGGUAUUGACGCCGAGGCACGAAAGCGUGGGGAGCAAACAGG
rnacentral:rRNA from 1 species